UAAAGAAACAAUUUUGAAACCAGUUUCAGACACCCAAUAGGAAUCAAAUUAUUGGGAAUUUGUUUUUUUAAUCAUUUUCAUUCUCUCUGUCACUCACCAUUAUAGUUGAUAUUGUAGUGGUUUUCGACUUUGACAAAACCAUUGUCGAUUGUGAUAGUGAUAACUGGGUUGUUAAUGAGUUGGGUUCCAAUGAUUUGUUCAAUGAACUAUUUUCCACCGUGCCAUGGAACAAUCUCAUGGCUAAGAUGGUGAUGGAACUUCAUUCUCAUAGCAAAACCAUUGAAGACAUUGUGCAAGUUUCGGAGAGGAUUCCUAUACACCCCAGAAUAAUCUCUACCAUUAGCAGCUAAUGCUUUAGGAUAUAUAUUUAUCUAUAUAUACCGAGCUACACCAUCUUAAAUAUAAGUAAAAAUAUGUAAAAAAAUAGAGAUAUUUGGUAUAAAAUUUUGACCAAAUAUACUAAUUUUAUUUGACAUUAAUUUUUCUUAUAUUUAAAACUAGAGGUAGUACCUCCUUAUUAUUAUUGUUUUUUUUUCUUUUCAGUUCUAUAUAAACAUAUUUGUUUUGUAGUGGUCCAAAGUCAAGAUCAUCAUGACUCCCAUAAAUAGGUCAUGUAUGGUUUGACAUCAGAUUAUCAUUAUUAUUAUUAAGAUUUAAUUUCUAUACUCACUUGGUAUGAAUAAUUUUUUUUAAAAAAAAAGAUAGUUUAGAUAUUUGCAUAUAUAUAUAUGCAUCUAAUUAUAUCACAUUAAGUAAAUAUUUGUAAUGAUAUUUUAAAAUUUAACUUAAAAAGUGGUAUUAUGUUAAUUGUUAUGAUUUGAUUGGAUGAAUGUAAAAGAAUUUUACAUGUGCAUAGAAUUAAUCUCUAUUAUGUACCAAGAAAAAAAUUAAACUAUAUCAUUGCCCUUAAAAAAAUAAUUAAUCUCAAUUGUUAAUUUGUUAUUAUUGUAUUUAAAAGAAGAACUAGAGGAGGGAAAAUUUAUAAGGUUGCAUUUGGAUUUUCUUAUGUGUGAUUUGAGGAUUGUGAGUGAUGCUAACACAUUUUUCAUAGAGACAAUUCUGAAACAGUUUGGAAUUAGAGAAUGUUUCUCGAAGAUCAACACUUACCCAAGUUAUGUUGAUGAGGAAGGAAGGUUGAGAAUUUUUCCAUACCAUCAUUUCAAUAAGCCUCAAACAUGUGCAAGGAGAAUAAGAGGUUUAUCUAUCUUGGAGAUGGAAGUGGAGUUUAUUGUUCAAGUUUGAGGCUAAAAGAUCAAGAUUUUGUGAUGCCAAGGAAGAAUUUUCCUGUAUGGGACUUGAUUUGCAAAGAUCCUUCACUUGUUAGAGCUAAAAUUUAUGAAUGGUGAUGGAGAAGAUCAAGAAAGGAUUUUGCAUCAAUUAAUCAAUAAAAUUUCAAUGGAAGAAAGUGCUCGAUUCAUGUCAAGUGAAUUCAAGUUGAAGACUUCAUCGUUCUCUGCUCAUGAAGCUUUACCUCAUGUUUAUAAUGAACAAGUGUAAUAUAUAUUUACUAAUACCUCAUAAAAUAUUUUUAUUUUCUUACUUUUCCUAUAAUUUCAAAUGUUGGAAUUGGUCAAA